AGUGAACGCUGGCGGUAGGCCUAACACAUGCAAGUCGAACGGCAGCACAGUAAGAGCUUGCUCUUACGGGUGGCGAGUGGCGGACGGGUGAGGAAUACAUCGGAAUCUACUUUUUCGUGGGGGAUAACGUAGGGAAACUUACGCUAAUACCGCAUACGACCUACGGGUGAAAGCAGGGGAUCUUCGGACCUUGCGCGAUUGAAUGAGCCGAUGUCGGAUUAGCUAGUUGGCGGGGUAAAGGCCCACCAAGGCGACGAUCCGUAGCUGGUCUGAGAGGAUGAUCAGCCACCCUGGAACUGAGACACGGUCCAGACUCCUACGGGAGGCAGCAGUGGGGAAUAUUGGACAAUGGGCGCAAGCCUGAUCCAGCCAUACCGCGUGGGUGAAGAAGGCCUUCGGGUUGUAAAGACCUUUUGUUGGGAAAGAAAAGCAGCAGGUUAAUACCCCGCUGUUCUGACGGUACCCAAAGAAUAAGCACCGGCUAACUUCGUG
rnacentral:rRNA from 1 species